CCCGCAGUGCCGGUUCCUGGCAUCAUUUAGGUGCAGGGACCCAGAUGACACUUCUGAUUUUGGGUCCUGCCUUUCCAGCAGCAGUCUGCAACUUGCCGGUUUCCGGGCAGGACGGCAGCCGCUGAGCAGAAGGCAGAGUUACGCUGCAGUCCCAGCAACCUGGUUAGCUGCAGAGGCUCUCGCGGCGCCGCCGUCCUCUCUACCCUUGCCGGAGUCUGAGUGUCUGAUCCUCACCCGAGGACUGCUCCAAGCACCCCGCCACGCACGGAGCCCCAUCUCCUUGCCCACCUACCCUCUGCAAAGGACCCCGGUAAGUGAGCUGAGGUCGGGGACACUUGGGGUUUGGAGGAGAAUUUGGACACUGCAGCUUUAAGAACGCCGUACUGCG
rnacentral:lncRNA from 1 species